AAAUUGAAGAGUUUGAUCAUGGCUCAGAUUGAACGCUGGCGGCAAGCCUAACACAUGCAAGUCGAGCGGCAGCGAAAGAAAGCUUGCUUUCUUGUCGGCGAGCGGCAAACGGGUGAGUAAUAUCUGGGAAUCUACCCAAAAGAGGGGGAUAACUACUAGAAAUGGUAGCUAAUACCGCAUAAAGUUGAAAAACCAAAGUGGGGGACCUUUAGGCCUCAUGCUUUUGGAUGAGCCCAGAGGAGAUUAGCUUGUUGGUAAGGUAAAAGCUUACCAAGGCAACGAUCUCUAGCUGGUCUGAGAGGAUAGCCAGCCACACUGGAACUGAGACACGGUCCAGACUCCUACGGGAGGCAGCAGUGGGGAAUAUUGCACAAUGGGCGAAAGCCUGAUGCAGCUAUGCCGCGUGUAUGAAGAAGGCCUUAGGGUUGUAAAGUACUUUCAGCGGGGAGGAAAAAAAUAAAACUAAUAAUUUUAUUUCUUGACGUUACCCGAAGAAGAAGCACCGGCUAACUCCGUGCCAGCAGCCGCGGUAAUACGGAGGGUGCUAGCGUUAAUCAGAAUUACUGGGCGUAAAGAGCACGUAGGUGGUUUUUUAAGUCAGAUGUGAAAUCCCUGGGCUUAACCUAGGAACUGCAUUUGAAACUGAAAUACUAGAGUAUCGUAGAGGGAGGUAGAAUUCUAGGUGUAGCGGUGAAAUGCGUAGAUAUCUGGAGGAAUACCCGUGGCGAAAGCGGCCUCCUAAACGAAUACUGACACUGAGGUGCGAAAGCGUGGGGAGCAAACAGGAUUAGAUACCCUGGUAGUCCAUGCCGUAAACGAUGUCGACUUGGAGGUUGUUUCCAAGAGAAGUGACUUCCGAAGCUAACGCAUUAAGUCGACCGCCUGGGGAGUACGGCCGCAAGGCUAAAACUCAAAUGAAUUGACGGGGGCCCGCACAAGCGGUGGAGCAUGUGGUUUAAUUCGAUGCAACGCGAANNNNNNNNNNNNNNNNNNNNNNNNNNNNNNNNNNNNNNNNNNNNNNNNNNNNNNNNNNNNNNNNNNNNUGAGACAGGUGCUGCAUGGCUGUCGUCAGCUCGUGUUGUGAAAUGUUGGGUUAAGUCCCGCAACGAGCGCAACCCUUAUCCCCUGUUGCCAUCGGUUCGGCCGGGAACUCAGAGGAGACUGCCGGUUAUAAACCGGAGGAAGGUGGGGACGACGUCAAGUCAUCAUGGCCCUUACGACCAGGGCUACACACGUGCUACAAUGGUUUAUACAAAGAGAAGCAAAUCUGCAAAGACAAGCAAACCUCAUAAAGUAAAUCGUAGUCCGGACUGGAGUCUGCAACUCGACUCCACGAAGUCGGAAUCGCUAGUAAUCGUGGAUCAGAAUGCCACGGUGAAUACGUUCCCGGGCCUUGUACACACCGCCCGUCACACCAUGGGAGUGGGUUGCAAAAGAAGCAGAUAUCCCAACCAUUUUUUGGAAGGCGUCUACCACUUUGUGAUUCAUGACUGGGGUGAAGUCGUAACAAGGUAACCGUAGGGGAACCUGCGGUUGGAUCACCUCCUUA
rnacentral:rRNA from 1 species